rnacentral:rRNA from 1 species
AUUGAACGCUGGCGGCAUGCUUUACACAUGCAAGUCGGACGGCAGCACAGAGAAGCUUGCUUCUUGGGUGGCGAGUGGCGAACGGGUGAGUAAUAUAUCGGAACGUACCGAGUAAUGGGGGAUAACUAAUCGAAAGAUUAGCUAAUACCGCAUAUUCUCUGAGGAGGAAAGCAGGGGACCUUCGGGCCUUGCGUUAUUCGAGCGGCCGAUAUCUGAUUAGCUAGUUGGUGGGGUAAAGGCCUACCAAGGCGACGAUCAGUAGCGGGUCUGAGAGGAUGAUCCGCCACACUGGGACUGAGACACGGCCCAGACUCCUACGGGAGGCAGCAGUGGGGAAUUUUGGACAAUGGGCGCAAGCCUGAUCCAGCCAUGCCGCGUGUCUGAAGAAGGCCUUCGGGUUGUAAAGGACUUUUGUCAGGGAAGAAAAGGCUGCUGCUAAUACCGACAGCUGAUGACGGUACCUGAAGAAUAAGCACCGGCUAACUACGUG